ACACACACACACACACACACACACACACACACACACACACACACAGUUCUUUGUGGCUGGGCCUGGAGCCCUGACAGUGAUCUACAUGCACAUGUGUGAAGGAGCGUCUUCAGUUACCCCUCUGCACACACAUGGUUAUUUCGAGCUGCUGAAGUCCUGCUGUAACCCGGCGAAAUAAUAGGAGGAGCCGAGCUCUCCUCUUUCCAUUCUGUUCCUCAGAGCCAUUGCUGCACCUUCCGGCGGGCUUCCCUCUGAGUGAAAAGGUUGUGUCCUCUCCACAUGGCUCUCCAAGUUGGAUCCUAAUUUUAAAGCAAUGGAGAACGUGCCUCUGCAGGUUCUGACUGUGCCCACAGCCCCCUACCCCGACCAGAGACCCGGCACCAGCGGCCUUAGAAAGAAGGUCUACGUGUUUCAGUCCAAGAGGAACUAUCUGCACAACUUUAUCCAGAGUAUCUUCUCUUCCAUUGACUUACCUGACCGUCAGGGUGCAACCCUCGUGGUGGGAGGAGACGGCCGCUUCUUCAACAGACCGGCGAUUGGGGUCAUUGUUCAGAUGGCAGCUGCCAACGGGAUCGGACGUCUUAUCAUUGGACACCAUGGGAUAAUGUCAACGCCAGCGGUCUCAUGUGUCAUCAGGAAAUACAAAGCCAUCGGUGGGAUUAUCCUUACUGCCAGCCACAACCCCGGUGGACCCGGUGGAGACUUUGGCAUUAAGUUUAACACAGCAGCUGGAGGCCCAGCAAAGGAGGAGGUCACAAGCAAGAUCUACCAGAUCAGCAGAACCAUUGAGGAGUUUGCUAUUUGCCCUGGACUGUGUGUGGAUCUGAAAACCCUCGGCAAACAGGCGUUUGAUCUAGAAAACAAGUUCAAACCCUUCACAGUGGAAAUAGUUGACCCUGUGGAGUCCUACGCUAACCUUCUGAGGAACAUCUUUGACUUUGCGGCUUUGAAGGAACUUCUGUCUGGCGAGAAUCAUAUCAGCAUAAGGCUAGAUGCAAUGCAUGGAGCGCUGGGACCAUAUGUGAAGAGAAUACUGUGUGAGGAGCUGGGUUGCCCGGCUAACUCUGCCAUUAACUGUGUCCCGCUGGAAGACUUCGGAGGUCAACCCCCCGAUCCUAACCUUAUGUAUGCUGCAGACCUGGUUGACAGCAUGAGAGACGGACAGUAUGACUUUGGAGCGGCAUUUGAUGGGGACGGGGACCGUAGCAUGAUCCUGGGUAAGCAUGGUUUUUUCGUCACCCCGUCUGACUCUGUGGCUGUGAUAGCGGACAACAUCUUCUGCAUCCCGUACUUUCAGCAUACAGGCGUAAGAGGCUUUGCCCGCAGCAUGCCUACAAGCACAGCGUUGGACAGAGUAGCCAAAGCAACAAAAAUAGAGCUGCAUGAAACUCCCACUGGCUGGAGGUUCUUUGGGAACCUGAUGGACGCCGGCAAGCUGUCUUUGUGUGGAGAGGAAAACUUUGGUACAGGUGGGGACCACAUUCGUGAGAAGGAUGGGCUUUGGGCUGUGCUGGCAUGGCUGUCCAUCAUUGCGACUAGAAGGCAGAGUGUGGAGGACAUUCUGAAGGAACACUGGUUGAAAUAUGGAAGAAAUUACUUCACAAGAUAUGACUAUGAGAAUGUUGACAUAGAUGCAGCGUGCGACAUGAUGGAGGAUUUGGAGAUUCUGAUCUCAGACAAGUCCUUUGUGAAGCAGAGAUUUGCUGUUGAAGACAAAAUCUACCAGGUGGAAAAAGCUGACAACUUUGAGUACACAGACCCUGUGGACAGCACCAUAACCAGGAACCAGAAUCAUCUACAGGCUGGGUGGGACAGCUGCUGAGGGAGCAACAGUCAGGAUCUACAUUGACAGCUAUGAAAGGAAACUCAUAUUUGAAGACACCCAGGUGAUACUGGCGCCCCUGGCAACUAUUGCUCUCAAGAUUUCUCAGCUUCAUCACAGGACGAGUCGAAAGGGGCCGUCACUCAUUACAUGAAUCUUCCUCCAAAGGGCUUCAUCUCCCAUUAAUUUUUUUUUUUUUUAUUAUAUUGUUCCUCCCAUAUUUUGUGUAAACAGAACAGCAAAUCAAGGAGGGGAAGCACUUAGUGCAACAGAUGACAUUUCUGACUCAUCUUUGUAUUUUAAUCAUGCAUCUGGGAUGUAAUUGAAUGUGUUUUUGCCUGGAAUGAACUCCAUCUGCUUCCUGCUUAUGGAGUUUUGACUCCUCUGCAUUGUGUCUGAUUAGAGCAACUCCAGUAAUUAUUCGCCACUGCAUGCUCUCUGCUCUUCCACUGAUGUUGUUUUUACUAAUGUGACUUUGCAUACAAAUAUUGUUUGCUGAAGACUACUGAGAGCUUAAUUUCAUAUAAAUAGGCUGGUUGCUUCCAGGCCCUCUAAUACUGUAUUGUAUUUUAACACAGACUGUGUUUUGGAUUAAAAAGCCUAUGACAGCCUCACUCUCUUCAGCUUCAAACUAUUCUUUUGGAACAUGUGUGCUCCGUAAUUUGGGAAAAGUGAAACUCCUCAGCGAAUAAUAACCUAAAACAGUGCAUGCGUGUCAUAAACCAUUGCAGCAAUUAAAGUCAGCUCUCCAGAAAAUUACAAAAAUAAAAACAAGGCACCAUUUUGUUCACCAGAUAGAAUGAUCUCUUUUUUUUUUUUACGUGUCGUCAUGAAUAAACUUCUGUUUAAUUGUA